GGGAACUAGAGAACCAUCAUCUCAUCAAUUCCUCUGAGUUAACACCUUGUUUCAAGUCUAAUUCUCCAGAGUUUCCCAAUAUCUGUCAUUCUCUACACUCUUGUUAUCUUCCCAUUAGAUUGCAAUUUACCAAAGGCAUGGGGCACCCUUUCUUAUUUAUAUCCCUAACACUUGGCAUAAUGCUUCUCAUAUAGCAGAUAGAACCAGAAAAUGUGCUUCUGGAAGAGGAACAAAAGUUGUGAGUGCAGGGAGACACAAAGGAGCUAGUCCAAAACAAGAAACAAAGAGGGAAGUGGCGAAGCUGGCCCAGUAAGCAGACUCGAGGGAAACAAAGGGAGAGCCCAGGCUGAGCCUUUGAUAUCUUAGUGGAGUCUCCAGCUAAGUCUUCUCCCUGCCGAGCAUCCCCAUCACUUCAGGGUUACACCACAGAGUGGAAAUAUCACCGACCCUGGAGUAAAGGGACUUGGGCCAGAUCCUGCCCAUGGUUCACAGCCAGCCUCUUCACCUCCAGAACUCAGAGUCCUCAUCUGUUCUUCACAGAUGAGAAAAUGGCCUCGUGACUUUGUGCUUUGUUCAGGUAGGAUGAGCGCAGAAUCAGCAAGCUGAGAGCUGGAAGGGACUGGUAGGUCACAGGGCCGCAGAUUGGGAGCCAUCGAGCUGCCCUGAUUUUACAAAGGAGAAACUGAGAACUGGCCAGGGCAAGUGAAUUGCUCACAGUGACAUGUCUAAUAAAGAGGAAAACUGGAAUUUAACCCCA
rnacentral:lncRNA from 1 species